rnacentral:lncRNA from 1 species
GGGCGGGCAGGCGUGCACUGAGCCAGAUGUGCAGCCUAGGCGCAGGCCCUUCACCCUCUGGGGCCUCGCGGAUCUCAUGCAAAACAAGGAUAGAGCUCUGAAUCCCGAGGUCCGCGGGGGCCCAGGGAAGUUGUGUCAAAGCGCAAGAUUCCCCGGCCCCCUCGUAUGCUGUACAGCCCUUCAUGCGUCUCAGUGCCUAGCAGACGCUGUGGAUGGCCAAGCUGGAUAAUGCCACCGCGUAUUCCCAAUUAAAAAUAGCUACCUAAUAAGUAUCCCCUCUCCCUUUGAAAUGUCGGACCUGGAGGUGAUCUCCAGACAGGUCCACCCCCCCACACACACACAGCCUUACUACCCAAAUCGGUUCAUUCUGCCUAUGACUCACCCCGCACUCCACCCUGUUGGUGAUAGAGCUUCCUGCAGAGGAACCCUGAAGAAGCCCUGUCCCCUUAUAAACCUGUUUCUCCAAACUCACCUUUUCCCAUUAGAUUUCUUCAAAGACCUCACCUUAAGGGACACAACUUUCCUCCCUGGACCCCUUUCUUUCUUCUCAAACUUCCCUCAAAAACACUCGUAAGUCCCUGUUUUCACUUACCAGUAUUGUCCCAUCACUUCGAAGCAACCCUGCUCUCUUCAAAGUCAGAACAUUUUACCACACUCUGGUUUUUUUCCCAUCCUAUUCUCCUUCCCAGCCUCCAGAAGGACACACAGUUUCUUAAUUUCAGCUGUUGUCUUCUUACAGGACACUAACUCCAGGUGUUUGGUCUCUUCACCUACAUUAGUCACCUCUGCCUCUGUUUAUUUGUUGACCCUCCUGGAUGUUGAA